AUGACAACAACUUUGACGGACGGACCCUGGUGUUUGGAGCAGAUGACAGCAACUUUGACGGACGGACCCUGGUGUUUGGAGCAGAUGACAGCAACUUUGACGGUAAGUCAUCCUUUUAAAGAAUGUUCCUAUUUGAUUCAAAUCAUCUUUCAAAUCCCACAUUUAUCUAGUGGAAGUCAUGUAUUCAGUGCUCUCACCAAAAAUGUGUCAUUCAACUGGCUGGUGCCAUUAAAGCCGCAAUUAGAGCGGUAAACCCUACAUACUUUUGAACAUCAAGCAAGUAAAAAAAAGAAAAAGACAGAAAAAAGUAAUUUGAAACCACUUGUAACCACUGCCCUAACCCUAAGCUAUAAAUUCUCUUAUAUAAUGAUGCCUUAACCUUAACCCCUGGAGUCUCCUAGAGGGGGAUUAGCAACCACUGCUGUUGAAUGACCACAAGUGGUCAUACGACGCAAUAGCACAAAACAAGACACCAAGGCACACCAGAAAACAUUGUGUCGAGGUCCAACAAGUCGAGUGACAAUGUAAAUUGCUAACACAUUUACUCGUCCCUUCGAUAGCUCAGUUGGUAGAGCGGAGGACUGUAGUGGUGAUGUCAGACAUCCUUAGGUCGCUGGUUCAAAUCCGGCUCGAAGGAAAUAGAUGUUUUUGCACUUUUAGAAAAUCGCAACUGAUGAAAUUUAGAAGAUAUACACGUGUGAUGGUCUAAUUGGAUGAAAAGAGGUGACGUGACUCCGUCUGUCCAAUCAUAUCUCACCGUGUCCAUCUUAUGACAGCCAAUCAGUAUGCUCCAUUUCCAUCUUUUGACGGAGCCGUCAAAUCACGUCGCCGUCAUUCCUACAUAUUACUUUGAUGACGUAAUUUUAAG
rnacentral:tRNA from 1 species